CGCGCGCUUCGGAUCGCUUCCCCACCGAUGACGCUCGUUAAACGUCGCGGUACGAGAGGUACGACAAGGUUUGAUAGUAAUGCUAUCUUGUGUUACAUUCGCUCACCUGGCUGGCGGGCCCGUGCGACCUGUUGCGAUGAGAUCGGUACAGUCUUUCGGUCGCGACCUAUUUUGUCGACAACGCGGGAAGAAUCAAAAGAGCCGCCAGAGUUUUACGCCAAGUAGGUAGGUAAGUAGGUAGGUACGAGACGAGAACGGCGAGUCUUUUCUAAACGCGAGUUUUUGGAAUAAUUUUGAAUUUUGUAUGAUUUUAAAUAAAAAAACAAGGUGAUAGUAAUAAUCAUUGAACAAUUUUGCUAUAUUGGGAUUCCCAUUUGCUUGUGUAUACUAAGAUAUCGCAAAAAUUCUUCGUAAAAUAAUUUUUUUUUAAUUUUAAGACGAGUUAAUUCUUUUUUUUUAACUUAAUUUUAGUUUCUUAUGACAAUAUUUUGGAUUGUUCAAAAAACUACAUUCAUCGAUCUCUUACUAUUUAAAUAGUGUUGCGAAGAGAAAAAUUGAUUUAACUCUGUAAACGUUAAAAAUGGAGUUAUUUAAGUGCUGAAUUGCGAUAUAUCGGAUAAUAAAAGGCAAUGUGUCUAAUAAAAUUA